rnacentral:rRNA from 1 species
AAAGGGGGGGGAAGCCUGAUGGAGCACGCCGCGUGUGUGAUGAAGGGUUUCGGCUCGUAAAACACUGUUGUAAGAGAAGAAUGACAUUGAGAGUAACUGUUCAAUGUGUGACGGUAUCUUACCAGAAAGGAACGGCUAAAUACGUGCCAGCAGCCGCGGUAAUACGUAUGUUCCAAGCGUUAUCCGGAUUUAUUGGGCGUAAAGCGAGCGCAGACGGUUAUUUAAGUCUGAAGUGAAAGCCCUCAGCUCAACUGAGGAAUUGCUUUGGAAACUGGAUGACUUGAGUGCAGUAGAGGAAAGUGGAACUCCAUGUGUAGCGGUGAAAUGCGUAGAUAUAUGGAAGAACACCAGUGGCGAAGGCGGCUUUCUGGACUGUAACUGACGUUGAGGCUCGAAAGUGUGGGUAGCAAACAGGAUUAGAUACCCUGGUAGUCCACACCGUAAACGAUGAGUGCUAGGUGUUUGAGGGUUUCCGCCCUUAAGUGCCGCAGCUAACGCAUUAAGCACUCCGCCUGGGGAGUACGACCGCAAGGUUGAAACUCAAAGGAAUUGACGGGGACCCGCACAAGCGGUGGAGCAUGUGGGUUUAAUUGGGAAGCAACGCGGAGAACCUUACCAGGGUCUUGACAUCCCUUUGACGACUCCGAAGAUUAAACGGUCCCCUCCGGGACAGGUGACACGUGGGUGUGAUGGGUGUCUUCGCGUCGGGUCGUGGGAUAUA